rnacentral:rRNA from 1 species
UACGAAGGGGGCUAGCGUUGCUCGGAAUCACUGGGCGUAAAGGGUGCGUAGGCGGGUCUUUAAGUCAGGGGUGAAAUCCUGGAGCUCAACUCCAGAACUGCCUUCGAUACUGGAGAGCUUGAGUCCGGGAGAGGUGAGUGGAACUGCGAGUGUAGAGGUGAAAUUCGUAGAUAUUCGCAAGAACACCAGUGGCGAAGGCGGCUCACUGGCCCGGUACUGACGCUGAGGUGCGAAAGCGUGGG